CUAGGUUGUAUGCCAACCACUAGCCGAGCAUGUCCAGUUUCAGCAACCCCUCUCUGUGUGUGGCUCAGCUUCUACAGAGACCAGCCCCAUGUGUGUGAGCGACACGGGACAGAGAGGUCAAAGGGCAAUUCUCUGAAGAAGCUGGUUCUGUUCUGUUAUCACGUGGAGUCCAGGGAUAGAACGUGGUCCUCAGGCCUUCGAUCAAGCAAGCACCUUUACUCAAGGAGCCAUUCUGCCAGCCCUCCAAGUUUUCAAUGUGUUAUAAUUUGAAUAUGAUUUUUUCU